rnacentral:lncRNA from 1 species
AUGUCUCCAAAGGCAUGCUUCAACAGCAGGCAUUGAGCUGCAACCACUUGUCUAUGCGACCACCAAACAAAAGCUGCUCAUUUGCGACCUGGCUGGACAGGAAGAGUUCCAUGCUUUCCACCAGUACUUUCUCAGAGGAAGUGAGAAGGAUCUCUUCUUGAUCGUAUGCAAGGUGGAGGAUGACAAUUGUGACGUUUUCAAGCAGAAUUUGGUUUACUGGCUGAGGUUCAUCGCUUCACAUCAAUCAGCCUCACCCAAAAGGAAGCCCAGGGUCUUGAUUGCCUUGAAUUUUUUCACUCGAAAAUGCAGCUAUGACCCAAAGAAGGUGGUUUCUGCAAUAAUCUCCGACAAAGACAAAGGCUAUGGGCAAGUACUUGAGUUUGGGACAGAUCCUUGUUUUAAGGUGGUGGCCACUCAAGUGAAAGAUUUAAGGGGGAUAAAAACCAUGUUGGGGAGUUGCUUGCACGAACUGCUGUCAUCCCAGCAACAAAUACCAUGGGAAUGUCUCGAAGCAAAGAGGAAACUGGUACAAGGUGCCAGUCAGAAGAAGGUCAUACCCCUAGACAAAGUUGACGAAAUCCUCUUGCCUAACAGCAGUUUCAAAAGUGAAGAAGCCUGGAAGAAUGUUAUUAAAUUCGUCUUGCAGUUUCUACAUGAUUGUGGAGAUGCAAUUUACUUUGGCUUGGGACAUGAAGAGGGUGACAUUGUGUCUCAAUUUGUCAUCUUAGAUGUCCAAUGGUUUAUGAGGGAUGUGGUGCAACUCUUCAUACCUACAGGGAAGAUCAGCAAAUUCAAAAGUCAAAUGGAAACACACCAAGUUGAACAUCGAUUGCAAGAACAAUGUGGGAACCAAGACAAAAUAGUGGAGUACAUUCUUGGAGUGCUCCAUGAGAUGGGACUGAUAUUGCCUUGGGAUGAAACAUGGGAUGGGAAUUGGCAUAACUUGCCCAAAAAGUUGAAAAUGCCAACACUAUUGCAAGAAGAAUAUUCACCUCCAGAAUAUUUAUCAUUGCCAUCAGUGCCAAUUGACACUCAAAAAAACCACAACUACUGGGGCAGGAGGUUUGAAUGCAAAGACAAGGACUUGAAAUUGUUUCCUGCAAGUAUUUUCACAAAGAUCCAAGUUAAACUUCACAAAUUAAGCAAGAAAGGUUUUAGGCCUGGGAAUGGAUGGGUGGCUUUGAAAGAGAACCUUAUCGAGACAAUUGUGAGAGUUGGGGGAGACACAGGCAAUUGGAAAGAUAGGCAAUGGGUUGAUGUCAUCAUCUAUUACCCAAAAGAGGUAGAGAAUGCACCAAGGCCAGAUUUGGAAAAAGAAGCUGAAGGAUGGAUGGAAAAAAUUAGAAAUUGCAUUAUUGGGGUAUGUAUGGAGGAUUGCCCAUCUUUGGAAAUUGAAGAAAAUGUGAUGAGACGUGGUUAUGUAUGGAGAAGGAUACUAAAUAAGGGGGACAAAUUAGAAUUAUGGGCUUCAGUUAUUUGUCCACUAAAGGAAGUCAAAUGUGAAGCAAAAGAAAGAGGUUUAGAAUACUCCCACACUUGGAAUUAUUCACAUGAAGUAGAGGAUUGGGAUGUGAAUAAUGAUUUGAAGGUCUCAGAUGAGAAUGCUUUGGCUAAGCUAUUGAUGCCCAAUGAGCAAAAACAUGAACUGGUGAAUAAGUUUGUUGAACUUCAUGAACUCUUGAAGGACUAUGACGAGGUUGGAGAAGUCACAAUUCCCAAAGCAUCAUCAGAUGUUGUUAAGUUUCCAAACAUUGAAGACCCAAAACUUGAUGCAAUCCUCAUAUAUAUUAAGAAGAUGUUUGAUAAAAUGGAGAACCGUUUUGACAAGUUGGAUACAAAACUUAAUGACAUUGAAGUAAGCGUUAACGAGCUCAAGAAUGGAAUCAAGUUUAUCAUGGAUAAAGUGAAUGCAAUCCAUACAACGUGUUUUCAAGUAUUAUUGAAAUUGGAGACAGAUUGCCCAAAAUAUCCAUAUAUUCUUGAUGAGAAUAAUAGGUGGAAAAAUUACAGCAAAAUAUUGGGAACACAUGGUAGACUUCACUAUUUGUGUGAAUGGCCUGAAGGAACUUCUAAAGGUCAUCAAGUGAAGAGUUCUGAAGGUGUUGAAUUGAAUAUCCCACCAAACUGGCUCGAGAAAUUUGCUCCAGUACUUAAAUAUACAUUGAUCCUAUUAUUUAUUGGGGCCAAAGUUGGAGGACAUUUUGCUGGUAUUGGAGAGAUAGUGAAUGCAAUAGUGGAUGAGAUCAAGGGAAGCCUCAUAAGUUUUUUGGAUUCAUGUCUUCUCAAAAGCAAGCUAACUACAAAUCCCAAAGCAGAAGAUGUGCAAGAGAUAUUUAAGCUAGUGACAACUAAAUUUGGGAAAGAAGAAAAAGAGGAGACAAUCAUGGAAAAAUAUUUUGUUCUUCAUCCCAUAAUCUUGGAGGGAAAACAAAUAUGGGUCUGCAAAGGUAUUUAGCAUUUAAGUUUUUUGUUUUAUCUAACAAACACCAUUCUAAAGCAGAUCAUUAAUCUAUAUUUUUAUAAGGUGGGUUAGCAAAAUGAAGGUAAAUAAAUAUGCUUUAUAUAGUUAUUACUAUAUAUCUUUGGUAUGAUUCAGGUCUAUUUUGUAGUUGAAGUUAAUGAGGUAAGUUUGUAUUAUAGCUUUAAAUUAUCCUUUCCUGCUUAUUUUAAUGUUUCAAGUUUAUUUCAGUGUUGAAUAUCUAAUAUUUUAAGUGAAGGAAAAGCUACCAAAUAUUUUAUUUUUUAUCCCAUAAUUUUGAUGAUAAAACAAUAUAUAUUUACAAAGGUAUUUUAUAUUGAAAUAUAUCCAUGCUUUUAAUUUUAUCUAAUAGAGGCUAUAUAGGGCAUUUGAAGUAAAUCAUUAAUUAUAUAUUUUGCUCUUCAUCCCAUAAUCCUGGAUGAAAGAAAAAUAUGGAUCUGCAAAGGUAUUUAACAUUUAAGAUUUUAGUUUUAUCUAACAAACACCAUUCUAAAGCAGAUCAUCAAUAUAUAUUUUUACGAGGUAGUUUGGAAAGAUGAAGAUAAAUGAACAUACUUUAUAUAAUUAUUACUAUAUGUCUUUGGAAUGAUUGGGUUAUAUUUUGUAAGAAAAGUUGAUGAAGUAAGUUUUACAUUAUUGCUCUAAAAUAUUAUUUCACGUUUAUUCUAAUGUUUGAAGUUUAUUUCAGUGUUGAAUUUUUAAUAAUCAAAGUGAAGGAAAAACUCAUCAAAUAAUUUCAUAUUAAUGAUAUUUCGAUAUGAAAACAAAAAUUGUGAAAGAAAUUGACCAUAAGACAAUCAUGGCCAAAUAUUUUAAUAUCCAUCCUAUAACCUUGGAUUAUAAAAUAGUAUGGAUUUACAAAGGUAUUUUACAUUGAAAUAUAUCUAUGAUUUUAGUUUGAUUUAACAAAGACUAUGUAGGGCAUUUAAAUAAAUAAUUGAUUAUAUUGAUUUUUGAGAUUAUUUAGCAAAGCAAUGAUAAAUCAAAUGUCCUCUAUAUUGUUUUAGCUAUGGCAGAAUGUUAUUUGUACUAUGAUUAUGCUACAUUUCCUUAUAUAAGUUGAUGAAGUAUCUUUACAUAUUGCUCUAAAAUAAUUUUUAUAUUUAUUCUGAUGUUUCUGUAUUGAAUGCUUUAAAGAAAAGCUACUAAGAUGAUUUCAUGUUAGAGGCAUUUUUUAUUUUGGCAUCUUUGGUAAAACAAUUCUAGGAAUGAAGUUAAUUAAAAUUAAUAAACCUUUUGAGGUAAUGCAUUUCAAAACUAAAUACAAGUGCUUAACUGUUAUUUAUCAUCACAUACUAUAGGAGAUAACUUUAUAUUAUCUUUACCAACUUCAACUUAUUCUUUAAAUUAAUGUUUAGCUAAAAUAUGUUACAAACUACAGUUUAAAGUCUUAUGAAAAUUGUCAUUAUUCACAAUUCCAUUUACUUACUAAACUCUAUAUAGAAAUUUGUUUACUCUCCUCAAUUAUAUAUAUAUGUCAUCCCAUAAAACUAAACACUGUAUUGUGCUUUAACUAUUGUAAGCAAUAAUUUAACAAAAAAAAGUUUUUGAGUGUUUGUAGACACUUUUUACAAAAUACAAAAUAUGUAUUAAACACCAUUUAUAUUUAUUUUAAAAAUGAAGUAUAAAGAUAUUUUUUACUAUGAAAUCAUUUGCAACACAUCAAGUGUUACUUUGAGAGUAGCUCUAAUGAAAAUGCUUUCUAAAUACUUAUUUUGAACAUUCUAGUAAAUAUUCAUUUUUGAAAGGUUGUUUAAUUUUAAAUUGUUUUCUUUCUUGCUAGGUUCUUUACAAAUAUUAACUUAUAUUAUUUAUGGCACUAUAAUCUUCUGAAUUUGGGCUUUCUAAAAGGUCAUCUAACCCAAUACUAUUUAAAGAUGCUUAAUCUAAAAUAACCCAAAACUUAUAACUAAUUGGAACAAAGGGUACAUUUCUAUAUUUAAAACAAUAUUAAUAAUUUUUUAAGUUAUUAUCUUUGGUUGUUUAUAAUCCAUCAUGCUUUUUUGGAAGUUCAUGCCUUCGUAAAUGGAAGUUGAAAGUUGCAACUCUUCGAAGAGUCCUGCUCUUUUAACACCUUACCCCUCGAGUUGAAAUUGGAGUAAACUAAACUUAAUAAAUAUCAAUCUUAACAUGUGGUGUGAUUUCUUUAAUCAAUUAAUAGAGUCACACUUUAGACUUCUCUAAUACCAAAUAUAAGUUUUUAAAUUUGGACUUCAUAAAAGGUUAUUUAGCCAUUUGGGUAUCCAAAAGUGGAAUUGGACACAUAGAGCAUUUAAACUAAGUACAAAGUUGAUGUGGUUACAAGAACACAUUUUAAAGUUAGCAAACACCCAAAUUAAUAUCAGGGCCUAUAGAGAUUAUGAGUGAGACUCCUUUAGAUGAUCCUAAAGUAAAAAAAAAUUAAUCAUUUAUAAAGAUGCCAAAAGCAUGGUGAUGGUUGCGAUCACCACCACCAUAACAAAAAUGACAAGCCAUAAUUAUAGUAUACUGCUAUUUACAUUGCCUUGAUAAGCAUUUAUGACAUGCAAAAAUUCAAAAAUAAACUUUAUCGAAACCUUUGCAAACUCAACCAAGUUUAUGAGCUAAAUGAAGAAGUUUGGUUUAGAGAUGUUUGCCUAAGCUCACUCCCAAUCUUUAUCUCAUCCUUGUCUAGAGAACCAACAUCUCAAUCAUUUAUUAUACCUUGUAAAUUGGCAAGAAAAAGCUUCAAAUUAUCACUAAUAUACUGGUUUAUAUGUUUUUCUCAAAUUUUUGGGCUAGUAUUUAGUAUUAGGUUGCUAAGAUUUUAUGCCAAGCUAAGUAAUUUCUCAAGAGAAAGAUUUAAGUGAAUUUGAAAUAAACUCUUUGUAGACAAUAACUUACAAAAGAAAAAAGGGUAAGUCACUAUAUUAUUUAUAUAUGGAACUUAUUAAAGAGGACCUGCUCGAUAAAAAAUACAUUGUCCAACUUAGGGCUUUAUGUAUUGAUUGAGUGGAGAUAGAUUAUCAAGCAAAGAUGAACAUUUGGCUAAAGCUUUGAUUUAUUAAUGGUUUUGUUGAGAUUGGGCAAAAUGUUAUUAUAAAUUUAUAGUUCAUUUUGUAAGUGAUUGGAUUAAUUUUUGUUACUCUUUACAGUUGGACAAUCUCAAGAGUUUCCUCUUUUGCUUUUGAAGGAGAACUUUGUUUGUGCUUGUACAAAUAAGUUAAGUAAGACAAUCCAAAUACAAAAGGAAUCCAUAUGACCGCUGCCACGUGUAUCAAAAAAUUGUAGCUUUUCUUAUAAUUAUUUUUAGCUGUGCAUCAUUUACAAAACUUACACUCUACAAAUCUCACUCGCAAGAGGUUUUUACUAUAUCACCAAAGUUGUUAGUAACCUUGUGUAAAAUUGAUAGCUUGUCCUUAAAUAUCAACAAUGGAUUGUAUUUCAUUUUCAUAUCCAACAUAGAAACAUUUAUGGAUGCCUUGUGGUACUAAGUAUUUACCAAAUGACCACUUAAUUCUAGAUUCAAUGUUUGUAUUACAAAGAAAAAAAAGCAAGAGAAGGAAUAUUUGGAUUUUAUGCUCCAAAAGUAAUAAGAGUGAGAGUAGCACCUUAGAAUAUCUAAACCAAAUAACACUUGAGAUUCAUUAAUUGUCCUUGAAAGCCAAGAUAUCAACAAAAAGUAGUGAUCACAAGAAUAAUAAAAUAAGUGGUUGCAUUUGAAAUGUUGGAGAUAAGUUAAUACUACAUUCUCAAAAUAAAUACUAUAAAUAGAGAAUGUUAUUAGGUGACUGGAGUCUGGCAGUUACCUCAAGAUGGUCGAAAACUCUCACUUUGCAACGUCGGACAAGGUGUGAAGAAAGGACUCACCAUACCUCUGGGAAUACCUGUAAAUACCCUUCGAUCCAGGGCAAACUUCCAUGGAGGAGGAGCGACGAGUGUGGAUCCCCUGUUUGUCUGUCAAGGAGAUCAAGGAGGCUCUCGCAGCGAAGCGGGACAACAAGCAGCACUUCAAUGCGAUUGUGUUUCAUUGUGGGAAGAUCUGGAGGCUGGAGGCGCUUGACGCAUCCAAAGGUGAGUUUGUUGAUGAGGUGAGUGCUACCGUUGAGGGGUUUGGAGGCACAGAGGAGGAUCUGAUUGGUGUGCUCAACUGGUGCAUUUCAAAUCCACCCAGUUUAGACGGGGCUCUGGAUGUGGGAGAUGCUCCUGGUGAUGGCAGUUCGUCUGCUGCUGCUGCUGCUCACAUUGACAUUCUCAAGGCCGCUUUGGUACCACAGCUCGACAUCAGAUUCAUCCAGUUCGCUGCCAGGGUCGCUUGUAGGUUGGGCAUUCCCAGUGAUCGAAUGCAAAGGGUGGCAGAGGGCAUUGCUCCUCCUCAGCAGGGACAGGAUAUUUGGCAGAUUGAGGUUGCAGAGGUUUGCAAAGCUUCUCAUGACAGAGGAAUUCAAAGUCUUGAAAGUGCUACGUUUCAAUUGGCAAGGAGGCAAAGACAUCCUCACACCACCUCAGGAGCUUGAGUUGGCCUUUGCUCAGCUCGACUGCUUGACAGAGCUCUGGUUGUACAGGGUUGGGAACCCAGAGACUCUCCUUAGCCAACUCCUUAGGAAACCAGGAAACAACUUGAAACGUCUCCAAUUGCUGGGGAACAGGAUGACAGUGGAAGGAUUUGGGAAAUUGAGUAGGGAUCUGGCAAGUCAGGAGUGCAGGGUGGAAGAGUUAGUCAUCGAAGAUAACCACAUUGGCAAGGAAGGGUGGGAACAGGCAUUUCAGAGUGGCAUUUGCAUUAAGCUAGUAAAACUGGUGGCAACGUUUCGAGAGGAGGCAGGUGAAGCACUCUUCAAGGCACUCACUUGUCCAAACUGUUCGCUGCAAAGACUAUACGGGCGCGGACCAUACUUGAGCUCACGAGUUGAAGAGUUGAGCUCACGAGUUGAGGUCAAUUUUCAAUUGUAAUUUAGUACGAACAUUAUAAAUUUUAAAAUUUUAAGGUUAUGGCGAACCUAAUAAUUUAAUAACUCUCUAUAUAUUAUAUAGAUAAAAAUGUUCUAAAGAACACAUUUUGUUCUAAUAAUUUAAAUAUUUACUACAUGCAAUGAUAGGGACAUUUGUUAGAACAUAAAAUAAAAUGUUUGAAAAAAGAGUAUUCUUGUCACUUCUUUAAAUUUGUACUCUAUACUUUUUGGCUAGUAAAUAUUAGGUUUGUCAGAAUUAAAAAAUUAUUAAAUUUGAAAUAAGAUUCUAUGUGAAACCAUAUAACCGUUUGAAAGGAAAAAAAAUAACCGUUGAUGUAAGUUUAUUGCAUAUAAAAGAAAGACUUGGUUCUUUGUAGAAUACAUUCUUGAGGGGUUUGUCGUAGCAUACUGUCUAGAAUUUAUAGAUCUUCAUUCACACUCUCAUUCAAAAAAAGGGAAAUACACCCACAAAUGUCUAUGGGUUCUAGUGUUGGUAAUUUUAACUCUCACAAUCUUUCUUCCCAGGGCUCAAGGGCUAGGAGAUGCAAUAACUAUCCCAUUGCACAGCAUAACCAAAUCACACAGAGAAGGACCAGCCUAGUAUCACUCCUCCGGCCUUUUUUUNNNNNNNNNNNNNNNNNNNNNNNNNNNNNNNNNNNNNNNNNNNNNNNNNNNNNNNNNNNNNNNNNNNNNNNNNNNNNNNNNNNNNNNNNNNNNNNNNNNNUACAAGUGAUGCACAGAAGAGACAAAUUCUGGCUGCCCUGGAGGAAAACUACCAAAGCCUCGUGGAAGAGCUAUAUCUAGGCAAUGAUUCCGAAGCUUCUGAAGCAUUCAAGCAGAGGUGUUCUGGUCUUUUAGAGCGGAAUGCAAUCUUCCAGCAGAGUGCAUUCAAAGACUUUGACAACCCGUCAACAGGAAAGCUCUUCUUGUGUGGUGCUAGCAGGGUUGGAAAGACCACAAUAAAAAAAAACCUCUGCCGCAUUGUGCUUCAACAGCAGGCAUUGAGCUGCAACCACUUGUCUAUGCGACCACCAAACAAAAGCUGCUCAUUUGCGACCUGGCUGGACAGGAAGAGUUCCAUGCUUUCCACCAGUACUUUCUCAGAGGAAGUGAGAAGGAUCUCUUCUUGAUCGUAUGCAAGGUGGAGGAUGACAAUUGUGAGGUUUUCAAGCAGAAUUUGGUUUACUGGCUGAGGUUCAUCGCUUCACAUCAAUCAGCCUCACCCAAAAGGAAGCCCAGGGUCUUGAUUGCCUUGAAUUUUUUCACUCCAAAAUGCAACUAUGACCCAAAGGACGUGGUUUCUGCAAUAAUCUCUGACAAAGGCUAUGGGCAAGUACUUGAGUUUGGGACAGAUCUUUGUUUUGAGGUGGUGGCCACUCGAGUGAAAGAUUUAAGGGGGAUAAAAACCAUGUUGGGGAGUUGCUUGGAAGAACUGCUGUCAGCCCAGCAACAAAUACCACAGGAAUGUCUCAAAGCAAAGAGGAAA